rnacentral:rRNA from 1 species
GACGAACGCUGGCGGCGUGCUUAACACAUGCAAGUCGAACGGAAAGGCCCUGCUUUUGUGGGGUGCUCGAGUGGCGAACGGGUGAGUAACACGUGAGUAACCUGCCCUUGACUUUGGGAUAACUUCAGGAAACUGGGGCGAAUACCGGAUAGGAGCUCCUGCUGCAUGGGGGGGGUUGGAAAGUUUCGGCGGUUGGGGCUGGACUCGCGGCUUAUCAGCUUGUUGGUGGGGUAGUGGCUUACCAAGGCUUUGACGGGUAGCCCGCCUGAGAGGGUGACCGGCCACAUUGGGACUGAGAUACGGCCCAGACUCCUACGGGCGGCAGCAGUGGGGAAUAUUGCACAAUGGGCGGAAGCCUGAUGCAGCAACGCCGCGUGCGGGAUGACGGCCUUCGGGUUGUAAACAGCUUUCGCCUGUGACGAAGCGUGAGUGACGGUAAUGGGUAAAGAAGCACCGGCUAACUACGUG